rnacentral:rRNA from 1 species
AAUGAACGCUGGCGGCAUGCCUAACACAUGCAAGUCGAACGAAGGCUUCGGCCUGAGUGGCGCACGGGUGCGUAACGCGUGGGAAUCUGCCCUUGGGUUCGGAAUAACAGUUAGAAAUGACUGCUAAUACCGGAUGAUGUCGUAAGACCAAAGAUUUAUCGCCCAAGGAUGAGCCCGCGUAGGAUUAGCUAGUUGGUGGGGUAAAGGCCUACCAAGGCGACGAUCCUUAGCUGGUCUGAGAGGAUGAUCAGCCACACUGGGACUGAGACACGGCCCAGACUCCUACGGGAGGCAGCAGUGGGGAAUAUUGGACAAUGGGCGAAAGCCUGAUCCAGCAAUGCCGCGUGAGUGAUGAAGGCCUUAGGGUUGUAAAGCUCUUUUACCCGGGAUGAUAAUGACAGUACCGGGAGAAUAAGCUCCGGCUAACUUCGUG